rnacentral:rRNA from 1 species
UGGUAGUGUAUUGGACAACCAUGGCUUUAACGGGUAACGGAGGAUUAGGGUUCGAUUCCGGAGAGGGAGCCUGAGAAACGGCUACCACAUCUAAGGAAGGCAGCAGGCGCGUAAAUUACCCAAUCCUAAUUCAGGGAGGUAGUGACAAGAAAUAACGGACUGGGGCUUAUGGUUCAGGAUUGCAAUGAGUAGAAUUUAAACCCCUUUAUGAGGAUCAAUUGGAGGGCAAGUUUGGUGCCAGCAGCCGCGGUAAUUCCAGCUCCAAUAGCAUAUAUUAAAGUUGUUGCAGUUAAAAAGCUUGUAGUUGAAUUUUUGGAGGGAUUCCAAUGUCCGUUCGAUACGUGUGCAGCGGAGUCCUUCCAUCCUUCUGUUAACCCUUCUCGGUAUUAACUUACUGGUUGGGGGUUCAGAUAUUUUACCUUGAGAAAAUUAGAGUGUUUCAGGCAGGCUUGCGCCCGAAUACAUUAGCAUGGAAUAAUAGAAUAGGACUUUGGUCUCCUUUGUUGGUUUGAGGGACUGGAGUAAUGAUUAAUAGGGACAGUUGGGGGCAUUAGUAUUUAAUUGUCAGAGGUGAAAUUCUCGGAUUUGUUAAAGACUAACUUAUGCGAAAGC